rnacentral:rRNA from 1 species
CUACGGGACGCAGCAGUCGAGAAUCAUUCACAAUGGGGGAAACCCUGAUGGUGCGAUGCCGCGUGGGGGAAUGAAGGUCUUCGGAUUGUAAACCCCUGUCAUGUGGGAGCAAAUUAAAAAGAUAGUACCACAAGAGGAAGAGACGGCUAACUCUGUGUCAGCAGCCGCGGUAAUACAGAGGUCUCAAGCGUUGUUCGGAACCACUGGGCGUAAAGCGUGCGUAGGCUGUUUCGUAAGUCGUGUGUGAAAGGCGCGGGCUCAACCCGCGGACGGCACAUGAUACUGCGCGACUAGAGUAAUGGAGG